GUGCUCAGUUCGGCAGCACAUAUACUAAAAUUGGAACAAUGCAGAGAAGAUUAGUAUGGCCUCUGAGCAAGGAUGAUACACAAAUUCCUGAAGCGUUCCAUAUUUAA